AGAGUUUGAUCCUGGCUCAGAACGAACGCUAGCGGCGCGUUUCAGGCAUGCAAGUCGCACGGUAACAGUGGAGCUUGCUCCAGCUGACGAGUGGCGCACGGGUGAGUAACGCGUAGGUAAGCUACCAUAAGGAUAGGGAUAGCCUUACGAAAGUAAGAUUAAUACCUGGUAUGCUGUAAUUCACAAAAGUGGAUAAUAGUAGAGGCUUCGGCCGCCUUAUGAUGUGCCUGCGUUAGAUUAGCUUGUUGGUAAGGUAACGGCUUACCAAGGCGACGAUCUAUAGCCGAGCUGAGAGGCUAAUCGGCCACAUUGGAACUGAGACACGGUCCAGACUCCUACGGGAGGCAGCAGCUAAGAAUCUUCCGCAAUAGUCGAGAGACUGACGGAGCGACGCCGCGUGAACGAUGAAGGCCUUAUAGGUUGUAAAGUUCUUUUAUAGGAGACGAACAUCUCAUGUAGGUGGGAUUGACGGUAUCCUAUGAAUAAGGUCCGGCUAACUACGUGCCAGCAGCCGCGGUAAUACGUAGGGACCAAGCGUUGUUCGGAAUUAUUGGGCGUAAAGGGUACGUAGGCUGCCCGGUAAGUCAGAUGUGAAACCCUUGGGCUCAACCUGAGGCUUGCGUUUGAUACUGCUGGGCUAGAGUUACUGAGAGGAAGGCGGAAUUCCUGGGUAGGGGUGAAAUCUAUAGAUAUCAGGAAGAACAUCUGUUGCGAAGGCGGCCUUCUGGCAGUCAACUGACGCUGAUGUACGAAAGUUAGGGUAGCAAACAGGAUUAGAGACCCUGGUAGUCCUAACCGUAAACGUUGUAUACUAGGUGGUUGGAGUAUUGAUCCUCUGACUGCCGCAGCUAACGCAUUAAGUAUACCGCCUGGGGAGUAUGCCGGCAACGGUGAAACUCAAAGGAAUUGACGGGGGCCCGCACAAGCAGUGGAGCAUGUUGUUUAAUUCGAUGAUACGCGAGAAACCUUACCAGGUCUUGACAUAUACUUGUAUACUAUAGAAAUAUAGUAGCUCUUCGGAGCGGGUAUACAGGUGCUGCAUGGUUGUCGUCAGCUCGUGCUGUGAGGUGUUGGGUUAAGUCCCGCAACGAGCGCAACCCUUGUUCUUAGUUGCUAGCAGUUCGGCUGAGCACUCUAAGGAGACUGCCGGUGACAAACCGGAGGAAGGUGGGGACGACGUCAAAUCAUCACGGCCCUUACGACCUGGGCUACAAACGUGCUACAAUGGGUGAUACAGAGAGUUGCGAGACCGCGAGGUGGAGCUAAUCUCAAAAAGUCAUCCUCAGUUCGGAUUGGAGUCUGAAACUCGACUCCAUGAAGCUGGAAUUGCUAGUAAUCGCACAUCAUUAUGGUGCGGUGAAUACGUUCCCGGGCCUUGUACACACCGCCCGUCACAUCACCCGAAUUGAUUAUACCCGAAGUGCCCGAGCUAACCCCUUUUGGGGAGGCAAGGUCCUAAGGUAUGAUUGGUAAGGGGGAUGAAGU
rnacentral:rRNA from 1 species